CCCAGACUCCUACGGGAGGCAGCAGUGGGGAAUAUUGGACAAUGGGGGGAACCCUGAUCCAGCGACGCCGCGUGAGUGAAGAAGUAUUUCGGUAUGUAAAGCUCUGUCAGCAGGGAAGAGAAUGACGGUACCUGACCAAGAAGCCCCGGCUAAAUACGUGCCAGCAGCCGCGGUAAUACGUAUGGGGCAAGCGUUAUCCGGAUUUACUGGGUGUAAAGGGAGCGUAGGCGGCAGGGCAAGCCUGAUGUGAAAGCCCGGGGCUCAACCCCGGGACUGCAUUGGGAACUGCCCCGCUCGAGUGCCGGAGGGGCAGGUGGAAUUCCUAGUGUAGCGGUGAAAUGCGUAGAUAUUAGGAGGAACACCAGUGGCGAAGGCGGCUUACUGGACUGUAACUGACGUUGAGGCUCGAAAGCGUGGGGAGCAAACAGGAUUAGAUACCCGGGUA
rnacentral:rRNA from 1 species